AGAACACCAAAAAGGUUGAGAACGCGAGAACACAUCUGAUUCAUAUAAAUAUUCAAAUAUAAGGCUAUUAUCAAACGGGUAAUUUAUGUUAAUUCUAAAACUAUUUGUAGUAAAAUGUAACUUUUAAAAUGGCAUAAGGGUAUAACAAUAAAUGAAAUUUAGGUCAAUCCUAUAAUUUCUCAUUGCCACUCUUAUUUCCAAUUACGUAUCCCUCUUCAUCUCUCUCUCUCUCUCUCUCUCUCUCUCUCUCUCUCUCUCCCUAGGGUUGAAUCAGUUCACCGCCUCCAUCAUCUGCACCUUCGAUUCAAAAGAAAAAUAACAGUUCACCUGUUCACCAAGCAAACAUAAUACGAUCGUGUACAAACAGAUCGCCGAGAUAAUUAAGUCAACCACGUGUUCUUCGUUUGAUGAUUCAGUCGCUGAUCCAGUUCACUUUUCCGAUGAUGGUUUUGUAGUUAAAUACUCUCCGGUUUUGGUUACCGAGGAGGAGCAUGUAUCUAAUUAUCCGUCCCCGACGCCGAUUUUCGUUUCUGGUGGAGGAUUAUCGCCCGAUCAGCCCGAAAUUUCAUUGUUUAACGAAAAUGGAACGCCCUUCGAAGGUGAGUAUAUGGCGUCAGAUGGAUCGGUUAUGCUCCCAUUGUCGGAGAUGCAGCCUGAGGAGGGUUUUGCACUCAGAGAAUGGAGGAGAGAAAAUGCAUUGCGUUUAGAAGAGAAGGAGAAGAUAGAGAAAGAGUUGCUAAGCCAAAUCAUUGAUGAAGCAGAUGAUUAUAAGAUCAAAUUCCACAGCAGAUGAUUAUAAGAAACUCUUAUUUUAUUCAUGGGCAUUAGGCUGGAUUGGUUGAUAGAUCUUUUAAUUUUGCAGAUAAUCAAGUGCAUGGUCAAAAUGUAAAUCAGAAGUCAAGGUUUUGAAGGAGUAAUUUAGAGCUUGAUGUUUCUAAUAAGGAUAACCGUAAAGAAUGGAAAUUGAUAGCAGGAUCAAGGGCGUCCCUCUUCGUUUCUAUAUGUAUGAUAGCACAAGAAAAUAUGAAGAAAAAAAAACAAUGUUGUAGUAAUUCAUCUAUAAUUCACAUUAUAUUCUUAUAUGAAUAUAACUACUGAAAAUAUAGGAAUUUAGACGUUUUUUGUAUUCUUGUAAAUGUAUUCAUGUAUGAUUAGAGUUGUAUUCAUUUAUGACUGUAAUAAAACACAUAUUUAUUUGCAACGAAAUGGUGAAU